ACGGAGGGCGCAAGCGUUGUUCGGAAUUACUGGGCGUAAAGCGCGGGCAGGCGGUCUGUUAAGUCGUUUGUGAAAAUCCGGGGCUCAACCCCGGAAAUGCAUACGAUACUGGCAGGCUGGAGACUGGUAGAGGCUAGCGGAAUUCCUGGUGUAGCGGUGGAAUGCGUAGAUAUCAGGAAGAACACCUGUGGCGAAGGCGGCUAGCUGGGCCAGUUCUGACGCUGAUCCGCGAAAGCGUGGGGAGCAAACAGG
rnacentral:rRNA from 1 species